CGCUGCUUGGAGAAGUAAUUAGUGGACAGACACGGAGCCCCCGAAAGGGCUGCUCUUUCCCAGGGGAUGGAAAAUGCGAGUCUUAGGAGCCACUCCCCAAACUCCUUUCUGCCGAGCUGGGGCAUGGACAGGGGGCUCCCGGAGCCACCGCGUGAGCUGAACGGACGCCUCGUCUGCAUUAAGAAGCUGUGGGCACGUGGGCACCACCACUGUCAGCCCGUCCCCCUGACCCUUGUCCUGAUGAAGCCACGGGUCUGACUUCUCCACGCCCAGACUGAGGAAUGCACGGGGGAGCCCGCGAAACACUGAGGACGAGCUGGUGAGCUGGGGAGGAGUCUUGCAAACCCUUCAAACGCGCUGCAGGGCCAGGAGGGGAGCUGCCCGGCUGAGGAUCGGGCUCUGGCGCGGGUCGGAGAGUCAGGGCC